UACGUAGGUGGCGAGCGUUGUCCGGAUUUACUGGGCGUAAAGAGCGCGCAGGCGGUCGUACAAGUCGCGUGUGAAAGCCCCCGGCUCAACUGGGGAGGGUCACGCGAUACUGUUCGACUCGAAGGCAGGAGAGGGAAGUGGAAUUCCCGGUGUAGUGGUGAAAUGCGUAGAUAUCGGGAGGAACACCAGUGGCGAAGGCGACUUCCUGGCCUGUUCUUGACGCUGAGGCGCGAAGGCCAGGGGAGCAAACGGG
rnacentral:rRNA from 1 species